GAUUUACCAUUUCAGAAAAGCAGUUAUUUUCAAAAGAAAAUUUGUUGUUCUCUGAAUAUGAUCUCAUUUCCACCGUUCCUAAAACGACCACACAACUUGAAUUCCCUUUUUUCUAUUCAUAGCAGUUCCCUCAUCCAGUUUCAACUCAACUUUGAUCAAACAUGUGUUGCUCCCUCAGACAUUUGUCUGGAAAUACUGAGUAUGUGACUCAGGAACAAACAAGCGCAAAAAAAAAAAGUUCUGGGUGGAUCUGCCAGUUCAUGGCCGCCUCACCUGCGUUUCAAUCAUUGUCUCUGUGAACCAGCCCCUCUCGGGUUUCCUGCCGGAAAAAUAUUUGGCAAGUUUCGCUUGAAUUUAUACAGGACACACUUUUGAACAUGUAAACAAUAUACAAGGCCAACUUGUUUUGGGAGCUACGAAUGACAAAAGUCUCGAAAUCCAAAUCUGUGCCAAGUUAGUUUUGCCCUUAAAAAAAAAGUGCUUAUGAAAUACUUGAAUCUCUUCAGUUAGCACAAAUACAAUGAGUGACCUAAAAGUUCAAGUAAUGGCCCAGAGUGAGGGGAAGUGUAUGUAAUGUUGACUCCGGUUUACAGAAAGUGAAUCUGAGUCAUGACAAGAUCCUGAAAUUCUGCACGAUCUCAUUCUGCCUGUAAAUGCCCUGGACUCAAUGGUAAGCAAACGUGAACUCUGGCCAGGCAGGCAGAAGCACUUUGUUUUCCAUUGUGUGGCGACACCAGCCGCCCAUUGCUUCUGACAAAGGCCUUCGUCAAGCCGGUGUGUCAUCGUUUGCGUUUGCCACGGCCGCAGCUCGCCGGCCGCGCGCGAAGACCCGCUCCCCGACUUGCCAGUAACUCUGGUCUCCCCGGGCGCGAGGCCAGGCCGGCCGGUCCACGCGGGAUGCAGCGCCACCUGCUGGAAGCCGAGUGAUAGAGCCGCAGACGGGACUAGACCGCGGAGACCAAAAAGACCAGCGCUGGGUGCCCUGUUGGCUUCGGGGCGACAGCCAGGCCUGACUGGAAGGAGAACAAAAACAGUAGCAGAAAUACGCACCGUUUAUCCAAACCAAUCCUCCAGGCUACAUGCCAUCCUUUCCUCUCUGCGGAGUGUGGUGUGGUGUGUGUCCACGCGCCCCUGUCGGGAGCUAUAUCAUGGUUGGACAUUUGGGUGUGUCUGUCUGUGAUCUCCUUCUCCUCCUCCUCCUUGCUGGAUUUGAAGGAAUUCUACAGCUGACAGAAGCCUCUCCAUCAAUUAUCCCAUUUAAUCUCCACUACUCUGUACACGUAGAUAAAACAGUCAGCCUAAUAAACUGCCAGCACCCUGGCUCUCCUCGUAGAAUUACUCAUACCCUAACCACGUUGCAGGAUGACAGCUAACUAAUGAGCUUUCCCCUUUUCAAAAGACUUCGCCCACAUGGAAACAAAGACUGUCCCAAUCCCCCAGCCGGGGAGGACCGGCUGGCAGCAGGAGGCGAUCAAGACUGACUCGGAGAUGAAGUCAAUUCCAGCCGGCCGUGGGGUGGAGCGGUCUGAUGUCAAGCGUCAACCCUUCCACGCGGCCGGGGGUGGGUAUGUCAGAAAACUCAGCGCGUCGGCAUGUGUGGGCUUCUGCCAGAAUCUCGUUGGCUCUUUAGAGAUUUGCUGGCGGAUGCCACAAUCACCAGGCGACUGUCCCAGCCUAAGAGGUCACUGACUGAAAACCAUGCGCAUCUGUUAAAGCAGAAGGCCCGAAAGACAAAGCAAGGAAGGGUGCUGCUGCUUUGGCAAUGUAGAAGUGUUUGCUGACAGUCCUAGGAACGCCAGUGACCCAGGCGAUGGAGUCUUCUGGAUUUUCCUGGCGACUGAAUAAUAAAAACUACAAUAUCCUGAGGACUCUUUUAUGCCAGGCAGUAGGCUAAGCACUUUACCUUUGGGGUUUUUUUUUUUCCUGUAAUCCUCACAACUGCCCUAUAAGAUAAGCACUAUGAUCAACCCUGCUUUACAGAUGAGGAAACUGAGGCCCAGAGAGGUUAAAUGGCCUGUCUAAGGUUACACAGCUCAGAAGAGUAGAGGCAGGAGUCCAGGCCCGGUCUCGCUGGCCCAAAGACUAUGCUGCUGGUGUUUACUCUGCUGCUUCCCAGCUGUGAGGGCCCUAUAGGCCCUGAACUGUGCUGCGGUUUACUGUUUAUUUCAGGGCCAAAAUGACUCAGCAGCCACAUGACCACACCACUCGUUUUCCUGACCCCCUGCAUAUGAAAGCAGGGCUUGAGGAAAGGGCUUUCGUCCACUUUGUUUUGAGCCAGGGCAACAGACUGGAAAUGGUUGGAACAAAGAGUUCUGGGUCAGAGGUCAAGGGCAGUCUGGACUGUGACAGCAAAAACAAACAGGGCCUCUCACAGAGGCCGUCAGUGCCAUGUGGGGACCCGCAGGCUGGGCCUUGCACACACGUCUCCGAAUGGAAUGGACCGGGUCUGAAGGGCAGCCUGGCCUGUUCUUAGGUUGUGGGGGCAGGUGGGGAAAGCACUGUCCUGGAUUCGACUUCCAGUUCCACCACAUUCCUCAUGCCGCAUUCUGUGGAACUUGUGGGACAGAUGCAAGGAGCAGCAUACGGCAGCAGCAUCUCUGAGAACUUCAGAGAUUCCAAGGCUUCUCAAUAUAAAGCGGCAAUAAUGGCACCCACCACACUGAAUUGUGGGGUAAUGUGAGCCAAAGUAUGAGAAAGUGUGGUUAUGCUCCAGGGCUCUGUAGAAACAGUUUUAUGGUUAUCAGUUCCCCAGCAAAAAAAAAAAAAGUACUAUUGUUCUCAUUAAUUCUGGCAUGCACUUGAAUGACAAAUGGCAGAGGGAUAUUAUCCUGGCAGUCUUUGCCCUCUGGUGAAAGCUUUCUGGACAGAGGUACAUAGUUUGACGUUUCCGGGAGGUAGUUUGACCUGGCUGGGUAAUCAGACGGACGUGUCCAUCAAAACCUAAGUUCACUUCCACCACAGGCAGUGCUAUCUUCUCCAUUAAGCCAACCAGUCCUAAGGGCAAAAGAAAAUGGUGCCAGGUUUACGUCUAAAGGCUCUGAGGGGCACUGGAUGGAUGAGAGGGAGAGAGAAGGGAAUGCUGAAGCCCGGUCCUCCCCGUGGGAGCAGGGAAGCUGAAUAUGCCAGCCUCUCCCCUUCCUGGGUUCCAGGGGAGCCCCAUUCCCUGGGGGAAACUGGCACUCUCUAGUUGGCUCAGGCCUCAGGCCUUCAGACAAAACCCUCUUGUCUGGGAGGGCUGGGGGAUGCCACACAGCCACUUCUUCCUAACGUGAUGUUUGUUCUGAAUGUUAUCUAGGUCCUGAAAAGCUAUUUCCCUGAACUGACUUUAAAAUAUCCUAUAUGAUAAGUGGACAGUUGUCAGCAGCAUGUGCGUCUCCCAUUAGGGGAAUGAUUAAGGAGAGGCUGGCAUAUUCUACGCUGUUUAUGAGAGUUUAUCAACAGGUGGAGGAGGAGCGCCAUAACGUAAAGGAAGGCUUGCGUUAGGCUCUGACGUGAAAAUCAGAGAAAAAUGCUGCCUGCAGAAGCGUAUCAUGGUAGGAACUGACAUACGAAAGAUAACUGGUAAACCUAAUUGUCACAAUCUGUCAUGGUGAACACGGGAUCUCAUGCAUUUGUGAAAACCCAUGGAACUGAAUGACACAAAGAUAAAACUUAAUGUAAAUGAUGGACUUGAGUUAAUAACAGUGUUUCAAUAUUGGUUCAUCAAUUUAACAACUGUACCACCUAAUGCAGGAUAUUAAUACUAAGGGAACCGUGUGUGGGGAAGGCUAUAGGAAAAAUAUUUGUACUAUCUGCUCAAUUUCUCUGUAAACCUAAAAGUCUUCUAAAAAAUGAAAUCUAUUACUUUUGUUAACAAACUAAAAAUAAAUGAAAAACUAGAUGGAAAUAAAUCAAAAUGCUUAAUAGUACUGUUUCUAGAUGAUGAAAUUAUGACCAAUUUUUUUAUUUUUACUUUUUGUAUUUUCUACAUUCUAAUUUUGUCUAUAUUUAUGUGUCACUUUAUCAAUCAGGUAAAACAAAUUGUACUGUUUUAAAAUCUUGUCUGGGGGCCUGUUCUCUGAGGCAGAAACUGUAUUUGCUCAAAGUGAUCUGUUGUCUAGUUCUCUCUACACAGUAGGAACUUAAUACAUUUU
rnacentral:lncRNA from 1 species